AGGUUACAGGUUGACACAAAUCCUCGCUAGUUAACAUCCUAUGUGAGACGACGGUAUUUUAGGUCUGAUUGUGCAAGCAAGUCAUUUUUAAGUGAGGUAAAAUUUGGGAGAACACAAGACAAAUCAGAUUCCUGAAAGGGAUACAGUGGUCUGGAAAGGCUGAGAGCACUAGGGACGCAGGGCCUGUCUGCUACAGCAGGCAUUGCUAGUUGGAUCAGACAAAUAUUUGUGUGUGUGUUCUCAGUACGAUUCCCACUCACUCCGCAUUGAGAUGUGAAAACAAAAUUUCCCCUGGGACUUCAAUUUGGGUUUUCACUUUGGGCUCCAAGGGAAAAUGCAAACAACUUCACUAGAAAGCCCCACUUUUUGGUAAACAUCUGGGUGCAGGGGCAGAGCUGUGGCUCUACAAAAGAACCAUGGGAGAAGGGCCAGUAAAGGGGGUAAAGUACUGGAGUAACAGGGAUCCUUGCUAACCACUGAAGGCAGGUCUACACAGUCGUGCAUAGCUCGAAAUGAGCUACGAAUUUGAGCGAUGCAAUUUGCGGAGCUUAUUUCAACAGAGCCUAUUUUGAAAUCUGGCGCUGUCUACACAGUGCCAAAUUGUGACAGAGUGCUGUUCUGACGUCUUCCUUUUACAGGAAGCCGGCUAAGACAUCCAAUAUUUAAAUGUAUUUCAAAAUAAGGGGUGUGCUGUUAAGACACACCCGAUGCUAUUUCGGGAUAAUGGAUGUUACUCCGAAAUGGCGCCGCUGUGUGGACAUACCCUGAAAGAGCUUGGAGCUGCACAGUCCAGAUGCUCUUAUUCAAAGCAGCUUACAACUGAAAUAAAGGUCCAUCUCACCUGGGGGCAUUAGAAAAGCCUACACGCGCUAGUCUCUGUGCAGCAGCCAGCACCAGCAGUGGCUUGUCACUAGCACUUACGGUCACUACAAAAAGCACACAACCCAGUGACUGAGCAAUGGAUCAGAACUGUGCUCUUCUACAGUCCCAAUGCUUUUUUUCUUCACUAAUGGUACAGUACAGGCCCCGAUGUAUGCAGAGCAGGGUCAAAUGCUCCAGUAAACACAUCUCCUGAAGUCUACGGAAAACGCCAUCUUGGUGGAAAGAGGAGUCGCACCCAUCAGAGGGUUAAUAAAGAAUUUUUAAUUUCACAAAAUUCUAUCUACACAUUUUAAAAAGGAAAAAAACAAGAGCAACCCUGUAAAGAACACAGAGGAACAGAUCUGCUAAAACACAGAAAGUGCUGCUCCACGUCAGCUGUGUGCAGAAUCAAGUCACUCACUGCAGAAACUAACCCAGUCAUAUGGCACCCACCCUGACUGCUCUCAAACACACACACUUGGGAAUCCCCCUUCCCCUCACACACACACACCCUUAGGUUUUAAAGAAUAAUUAUGUAGUCAGGAGGCACACAAGAUCUCUGGGGGGACGGGGAAUACUGAAAGCAGAGUGCAAGGGGUACAUACUCCCCUUUUUAGUCUCUUUCUUUGGCAGUCAAUUACAAUCUAGAUUAGAUCAGUUAAAAAGUGACCCAGUUAUAGUUCUUCCCAGCCACACACAGCUUCCCCCUCAAGCUCCUCAAGAAAAGAAUUCCUCACGAGCAUCUAAAAGCUUUUGUGAGUUUCAAUAAAAAUGUUAACACUGGAUAAUCAACUGCUUCUCCCUUCAGCUGCAGUGCAGACAGCAUCUGUUAACCCUUCCAAGACAUGAGAGACAGCACACACAGAAAAGGAAGUAGAGUUCACAUCAAUCAUGCCAUCUACACCAUGAUGGACACAUGUCUGGGAAGGCAAUCAGCCACGCUGGAGAAAUCAAUGAUCAAGUCCUCACAUCAGACUGCAGCUUUAAUUAGGAAGCUAGUACCUGUUGGAGGUUUUUUUGUAAGUUCUUUUGCACAUCCCAGCACAACAGUCCUCUCUAUGGACUUGGACACACACACAGUGCAGUAUCUUGGACAAAAAUUCCAGUUCAUUUACAUAAACAUACAUUUACCAUAAAAAGUAGUCAAAUACAGUGAAGGACUAAACCAAGAACAAGUUAGAACAGACAUUUGAUGAGGAGUGGGAGACAAAGGAAGAAUGGCAUUGGUGUUUUCUUUCUUAUACUCUGAGGCACGCUCAGACCGAACUAAACUGGCUCUCGGGUUCUUUUGAAACGGAUGACUCUGUAUAUUUCAGGAAAUGCUGAAGUUUUAUCAUAUGCACUCCAUGUAACCCUCUUUAAUUAGUAAGAAACAUAAUCCAUACCAACCCCCUUCCACCCUCUCCCAGAAAGCCCCAUUCUCUUUAACAGGCUCCAAUAUUAUGAACACUGCCACUCUAAUAAAAGCUUCAAGGGUUUGUAGGCUACUUAAAUUAUUUCCUCUCCAAACUAUCUGAUGCUAAACUCUCUUGUAUGUGCUGGGUUUUAUUUGGUUUUUGUCUGUCCUACAUUUAAUCCCAGAUGGUUAUAAAGGUCCCUCAGGGCUAAGCUCUACUGAAUUUCAGAGUUAUUGCAACAAUGCAAGUAGUAUGAAAUGUAAAAGUUCAUUAGGUAUGAAACGGAAUGCUGGGAACCCAUAUUUCCCCCUCCCCCCUGCCAGAUUCUGAAUGAAGUAGCCAUGUUGUGCAACCCCCUAACGUAUAUAUUCAUACAUACAACCCUUGACAAGUUGCAUACUUCCUUCCCAAUUGCCACCCUGGAGUGGAGAAAGAAUCCAUUGUAGAUGGGGGUGCAGAGUGUUGAGCUGACAACCUGCUCUGUGUGGGAAAAGGCUCCUAGGGCCACUCAAGCAGUCAUAUGCCAAAAAAUGGAAGCCACAUGUUCACAAGUUGCUAGUAGCUAUGCUAAGAACCUGGUUUUCACAAGAGGGACCAUGAAAUCUGGUCUCAAGCAUCAGCUCUCAACUCUGGGUCUAUGCCAAAACAGGGUUUAAACAGAAAUUAGGAUACUCAAGUAAAACUAGGCAACCUUAGAUUUUAUUACAAACAAACCGAUCUGGAGUGCUGUGCCUCCAAAUGAUAAUUAGCUCCCAACCAAGCAAUCAGCAGUGCUAACUUGCUUGUAAGUAAAGCGUCACGUGUGCUGCUCUCAGCAUGCAGGGAAAAUGGAGAUGCUGGUUAAAAUGAGGAAGGAAGCUUUGUUUUAGUGAUGGAAGAGAUCUUGGCCACAUUUUCACAGGUAUGUGCCUUACUCUGUAAAAGAAAACUCCUACAUUAAAUUCCCCCCCACACAUUCCAUUAACAUAUUCACUGUUAACAAUACAAAAUCAUACUGAUUUAUAAUAAAUUAACAUGUCAUGUACUACUGGUGCUGUACCUUAUGAGGUAAAAACUUUAUCCUGUUUGUGACAGAAGUUUAAUGCUUAGGUUAUUUACGAUGAGACCAACACAACCAAUACAAUAUUUUCCAAGUUGUAACAAAACUCAUUUAGACUCGCUAGUACACAGACCAGAAGAUCGGCCGCGGAGGAAUUAUUUUGCCUACAGCAAUGGUUUGUAAAAGCUCUGGAUGGUUUAUUCCUGAGGAACUCCUAAUGGUAGUUUAAAAACAAAUAUAUUUGCACUAUCUGUAACCAAUUAUUCAAAUCGCAAAAUCCAAAGAAGGACAAAAGAAGAGUAACUGGUCCAAUGAUUAGCAACAAUUUUUUUGCAAUAAAAGUAAAUACCAAUUAAGGAAAUAUUUGCCCAUAUUAAAUAAAAGAUUGUUUGAAGGUUCUAAUAAAAAUUAAAUCACUGGAUAUUUUUGCCAGAGUCAGCUAUAAAAUGAGCAUCAUGUUACCAAGUACAAUUAGGACAAUAAAAUGUAACAGUUCUGCCCUGUAAUAUCUUAUUUUAACACUCUAUAUGGGUUUUCAAAAGCUUCUCAACUGAUUCAGUUUAUUCCGUCUGAGCAGCCAACAUGCCUAAAAACCCACAGAUCAUAUAAAAACAUCUGUCUGUGUGAGUUCUGGGAUGUGCAGGAAAAACGUGACAUUAUGGAAUGACAUAAUAGCAAUCUAAGUGCUAAAUGCAUUUUUCAGACUUUCCACUUGAGGAGGACAGAGACAAACACCGAUGCCUGCGAACCCUGAAGGGUUAAGGCCAGAAUGCUCUUUUACCAAGGUGUGAUGCGAAAAGAGUUGUAGUUCAUUUCCUUUUACUGCUCAGUGCUGGCUCCGCUUCCCUUGAAGAGAAUCUGCCAGUAGGCCAAAGCCUACCUUCCACCCCACUAGCUGCUUCGGUCAGAGUCAAAACAGGGCAGCUGGAAGCGAUGUGAAGUCAGUGAGAAGACGAUAAACUGACAGAAAGAUGUCAACUGCAGUAUGCAAGGACACUAUGAGGAAAAUGCAGCCAGAAAGAAUAAAUUUUAAAUGAAAAAAUAUAAUCUCAUUACUAACCAAAGACAACGAACCGUGUAGGAUGACAGAGAAGAUAUGAAAUACAUUCCCCAGCACCAAUCGCUUGUUUCCUGGAAAUGCAUGUAAAUGACAGGGCAUUUACAACAUCAUGAAUGUCAAAAUGUGUCAACUUGAGUGAUGUUGACAUACCUGUUAGCGGGAUAGACUGGCAAUAGUGUACUUGUGAUCUAGGGUUCCAGUGAAUAUUACUGACAAGAUACAUGCCAGGUUGCAGGCUGUAUUGCUUUAAUUGCUCGUGGAAAAAAAAAUAGAAUGCCAUGUGAUAUGUAAAUCUUCCCCAUUCACAUACCAUAGUUAAUGGACUUUUAAAGUCUAGUCUCUCUUUGCACUAUUGUUUCAUCAGUUUGUGAUCAGCUGUGAUCUCGUGGCUUGAUGGAACUCUUUUAAGGUUCCACGGUGACAAAAAUGUGUCUGGAA